GUAUAAACAGCAGACACACAGCCCCUGGGAAACCCCGAAUGCUGAAUACUGGGCCCAGUUCCACAGUGUGAGGCCACAGGAGCCCGAGUCAAGGAAGCAGCAGCAUAAACACAACCAGCGGGUCUUGGGGUACUGCCUUCUGCUCAUGGUGGCAGGCAUGGGCCUGCACUACGUCGCCUUCAGGAAGCUGGAGCAGGUGCAUCGCAGCUUCAUGGACGAAAAGGAUCGGAUCAUCACAGCCAUCUACAAUGACACUCGGGCCAGGGCCAGAGCCAGGAUUCAGCAGAAGCACCAGCAGAGGCAGCCUCCAACAGAACCCUCUCUGCCUCCAGAAAGUUCCAGGAUCAUGCCCCAGGACACAAGCCAGUGAGAGGCUUACCUAGGUGGGACCUGUAUUGGUCCUCCCCUUGCUGCCUGUCUAGGACUACACGUGCAAUAAACUCAUAUUCAGACUCCU
rnacentral:lncRNA from 1 species